ensembl:lncRNA novel transcript
CCGUUCUCACGCUGUUAUAAAGAACUGCUCAAGACUGGGUCAUUUAUAAAGGAAAGAGGUUUAAUUGACUCACAGUUCUGCACGGCUGGGGAGGCCUCAGGAAACUUACAAACAUGGCAGAAGGGAAAGGAGAAGCAGGCGCCUUCUUCAUAGGGUGGCAGGACAGAGUGAGAGCAAGCAGGGGAAAAUGCCAGAUGCUUAUAAAACCAUCAGAUCUCAUGAGAACUCACUAUCAUGAGGACAGCAUGGUGGUAAUCACUCCCAUGAUUCAAUUACCUCCCACAGGGUCCCUCCAACGACAUGUCGGGAUUAUGAGAACUACAAUUCAAGAUGAGAUUUGGGUGGGGACACAACCAAACGAUAUCAUAAGAAUCCUGAUUUUGUUUGGAAGGACAGCGUGCCUGGUUCCAGGACUUGAAUCAUUCGUUUGUCCAGCAUCUCCAUGCUGUGUACGCUACCCGCCUGUUAGUCAUUGACACUGUCUGCUCCUGACAUCCACCCAUCAAUAUUGUCAUUGCUCAAUGAUCCAGGAUCACCGAGAGCAGAUGAGCCUCCUGAUGCAUGGUCAGAAGGUCAAUAGUAGCUUACUUCUCCGUCACAACGCCUGAGUUAUUCACCUCACCUCACCUCAUCACAUGGCCAUUUGAAUCAUCUUAUAUCAUCACAAGAAGAAAGAUGGAGAAAUUGCACUGCAGAGAAAUCUUUAAAAGCAAUUACCUAAUACUGCAGAUUGCUGAACUGUACCCACACCCAAGACUGAGCAUUGGAUCAAUCCAGAAUAUACAUCAGGUGUUCUGCAAUGUCUGCCUAAAACCAUGACUCUGCCUCCUCCAGCUGUUGCUACAUCUCACUAUGGGUUUCCUGUGACAUUUUGAGCAAGUAUGCCUCUGUGACUGGGGUUCUUACACUCCAGAAUGGAUGAGAAGCACCGUAAGUGGCUUUUAAAAUGAAUAUUCCCUGGCCCUUCAGUCGCUCUAUAGGUCAAGAAUCUGAAUUCUCAACCUGUCUAGAAGGUUCUGGUUUUAAUGGUCUGUGGGCUGCACAUUGAGAAACCUGUUCAGCGAGUGCAACAAAGGUUCCACAUGUGAGAAAGGAAGCAUCAGGUCUCUUGAGCCUGUUCUUUAAUCUGUAGGCUGCACCUUCUCUUUAAAUUCUGCUAAUAACACCAUGCGAGAAAACACCCGAGCUUGAAAAGCCCAUGUUCCAACAUAACUGUCCUUCACCACUCUGGAAAAUUAAUGGUUUGUUUCGAUUAUCCCUUUGUUAAACUCCAAAGUCAAAGAGCUCUGAAAGGCAUACGGUUAUUUUAAGUUUCAGGUGAUUUCUGUUGCCAAAUAUUUUAAAAAUUUAAAAUUGCUACGUGACCUCUUAGUAGUACUAUUAGAUUUCCUGACAAUAAAAAUAAGUCUUUUGGUUUCACCAUUUAUAGUUAGUACAGCUAAUAUUAAGUAUAAUUUUAAAAGCCUUUUAUUUUCUCAGAAAGAAAAAAUAAUCAAAAUCUGCUCAGUGUGGUAUUGAAUAAUUAAAAACAAAAGAACAGUAUCUUCACAUUAG